CACCCGAUGGUACAAGGUGUGCGCCUGUUGCUUGUAGCUGGUUUUUAUGCAUAAUCAGGAGAUCCCCUGUUCGAUUCGGGGUCGGGUGA